UCCGGUUUGACACCGGCAGUCUCCCUAGAGUGCCCGGCAUAACCCGCUGGUAACUAGGGACGAGGGUUGCGCUCGUUGCGGGACUUAACCCAACAUCUCACGACACGAGCUGACGACAGCCAUGCAACACCUGUCCACGUUUCACCCUUGCGGGCAGGGUAUCCAACUUUCGUCGGACCCAUCCGUGGAUUUCAAACCCGGGUAAGGUUCUUCGCGUUGCUUCGAAUUGAACCACAUGCUCCACCGCUUGUGUGAGCCCCCGUCAAUUCCUUUGAGUUUUAGCCUUGCGACCGUACUCCCCAGGCGGGGCACUUAACACAUUUGCUUCGGCAGAGACAGUAUCGACACCACCUCUACCCAGUGCCCAUCGUUUACAGCUAGGACUAC
rnacentral:misc_RNA from 1 species